AAUGCUAAUACCGCAUACCCCUACGGGGGAAAGCAGGGGAUCUUCGGACCUUGCGCUAAUAGAUGAGCCUAAGUCGGAUUAGCUAGUUGGUGGGGUAAAGGCCUACCAAGGCGACGAUCUGUAGCGGGUCUGAGAGGAUGAUCCGCCACACUGGGACUGAGACACGGCCCAGACUCCUACGGGAGGCAGCAGUGGGGAAUAUUGGACAAUGGGCGGAAGCCUGAUCCAGCCAUGCCGCGUGUGUGAAGAAGGCCUUUUGGUUGUAAAGCACUUUAAGCGAGGAGGAGGCUACCUGGAUUAAUACUCUAGGAUAGUGGACGUUACUCGCAAAUAAGCACCGGCUAACUCUGUGCCAGCAGCCGCGGUAAUACAGAGGGUGCGAGCGUUAAUCGGAUUUACUGGGCGUAAAGCGUGCGUAGGCGGCU
rnacentral:rRNA from 1 species